rnacentral:rRNA from 1 species
AUUGAACGCUGGCGGCAGGCCUAACACAUGCAAGUCGAACGAGUGGCGGACGGGUGAGUAAUGUCUGGGAAACUGCCCGAUGGAGGGGGAUAACUACUGGAAACGGUAGCUAAUACCGCAUACCAUCGGAUGUGCCCAGAUGGGAUUAGCUAGUAGGUGGGGUAACGGCUCACCUAGGCGCCGAUCCCUAGCUGGUCUGAGAGGAUGACCAGCCACACUGGAACGGAGAAACGGUCCAGACUCCUACGUGAGGCAGCAGUGGGGAAGAUGGCACAAUGGGCGCAAGCCUGAUGCAGCCAUGCCGCGUGUAUGAAGAAGGCCUUCGGGUUGUAAAGUACUUUCAGCGGGGAGGCGUGACUCGCAGAAGAAGCACCGGCUAACUCCGUGCCAGCAGCCGCGGUAAUAC